UGGCUCAGAUUGAACGCUGGCGGCAGGCCUAACACAUGCAAGUCGAGCGGUAACACAGGAGAGCUUGCUCUCUGGGUGACGAGCGGCGGACGGGUGAGUAAUGUCUGGGAAACUGCCCGAUGGAGGGGGAUAACUACUGGAAACGGUAGCUAAUACCGCAUAACGUCUUCGGACCAAAGAGGGGGACCUUCGGGCCUCUUGCCAUCGGAUGUGCCCAGAUGGGAUUAGCUAGUAGGUGGGGUAAUGGCUCACCUAGGCGACGAUCCCUAGCUGGUCUGAGAGGAUGACCAGCCACACUGGAACUGAGACACGGUCCAGACUCCUACGGGAGGCAGCAGUGGGGAAUAUUGCACAAUGGGCGCAAGCCUGAUGCAGCCAUGCCGCGUGUAUGAAGAAGGCCUUCGGGUUGUAAAGUACUUUCAGCGAGGAGGAAGGCAUUAAGGUUAAUAACCUUAGUGAUUGACGUUACUCGCAGAAGAAGCACCGGCUAACUCCGUGCCAGCAGCCGCGGUAAUACGGAGGGUGCAAGCGUUAAUCGGAAUUACUGGGCGUAAAGCGCACGCAGGCGGUCUGUCAAGUCGGAUGUGAAAUCCCCGGGCUCAACCUGGGAACUGCAUUCGAAACUGGCAGGCUAGAGUCUUGUAGAGGGGGGUAGAAUUCCAGGUGUAGCGGUGAAAUGCGUAGAGAUCUGGAGGAAUACCGGUGGCGAAGGCGGCCCCCUGGACAAAGACUGACG
rnacentral:rRNA from 2 species